rnacentral:rRNA from 1 species
AGAGUUUGAUCCUGGCUCAGGAUGAACGCUAGCGGCAGGCUUAACACAUGCAAGUCGAGGGGUAACAGAAGAGCCUGCUCUUGCUGACGACCGGCGCACGGGUGCGUAACACGUAUGCAACCUACCUUUUACUGGGGAAUAGCCAGGUGAAAACCUGAGUAAUACCCCAUAACACUUAAUGAGGCAUCUCAAAGAGUUAAAAGCUUCGGCGGUAAAAGAUGGGCAUGCGGAUGAUUAGUUAGUUGGUGAGGUAACGGCUCACCAAGACUUCGAUCAAUAGGGGGCCUGAGAGGGUUAUCCCCCACACUGGUACUGAGACACGGACCAGACUCCUACGGGAGGCAGCAGUGAGGAAUAUUGGACAAUGGGCGAAAGCCUGAUCCAGCCAUGCCGCGUGCAGGAAGAAUGCCCUACGGGUUGUAAACUGCUUUUGUUAGGGAAGAAACCCCGGGACGUGUCCCGGGCUGACGGUACCUUUCGAAUAAGGACCGGCUAACUCCGUGCCAGCAGCCGCGGUAAUACGGAGGGUCCAAGCGUAAUCCGGAUUCAUUGGUUUUAAAGGGUCCGCAGGCGGGCUGAUAAGUCAGAGGUGAAAUCCUACAGCUCAACUGUAGAACUGCCUUUGAUACUGUCAGUCUUGAAUGUGCUCGACGUAGGCGGAAUGUGCCGUGUAGCGGUGAAAUGCUUAGAUAUGGCACAGAACACCGAUCGCGAAGGCAGCUUACGAGAGCAAUAUUGACGCUGAGGGACGAAAGCGUGGGGAGCGAACAGGAUUAGAUACCCUGGUAGUCCACGCCGUAAACGAUCAUCACUCGUUAUUAGCGAUAUACAGUUAGUAACCAAGCGAAAGCAUUAAGUGAUGCACCUGGGGAGUACGUCGGCAACGAUGAAACUCAAAGGAAUUGACGGGGGCCCGCACAAGCGGUGGAGCAUGUGGUUUAAUUCGAUGAUACGCGAGGAACCUUACCUGGGCUCAAACGCAUGAUGACAGGCUGGGAAACCAGUUUUUCUUCGGACAUUAUGCGAGGUGCUGCAUGGUUGUCGUCAGCUCGUGCCGUGAGGUGUCGGGUUAAGUCCCAUAACGAGCGCAACCCCUAUUUCUAGUUGCCAGCGGGUAAUGCCGGGGACUCUAGAGAAACUGCCUACGUAAGUAGAGAGGAAGGUGGGGAUGACGUCAAAUCAUCACGGCCCUUACGUCCAGGGCUACACACGUGCUACAAUGGCGAGAACAGAGGGAUGCUACCUGGUGACAGGAUGCGGAUCUCCAAAUCUCGUCUCAGUUCGGAUCGAAGUCUGCAACUCGACUUCGUGAAGCUGGAAUCGCUAGUAAUCGCGCAUCAGCCAUGGCGCGGUGAAUACGUUCCCGGGCCUUGUACACACCGCCCGUCAAGCCAUGGAAGCUGGGAGUGCCUGAAGUCGGUGACCGCAAGGAGCUGCCUAGGGCAAGACUAGUGACUGGGGCUAAGUCGAAACAAGGUA